CAACCCUCAAGCACUGCUUGGUGUUGGGGCUCUACGCGUCCAGCGUAGGCCCUGAAAAUCAGUGGCGGGCUCGCCAUCGGUUCGGGCGCAGUAGCGAUAUCUCGCCCGGGACUGGUGACGUGCUCCGGCCGUUAAACCCCCCAAACCACUGAA
rnacentral:misc_RNA from 1 species